GACGAACGCUGGCGGCGUGCCUAACACAUGCAAGUCGAACGGAAAGGCCCUGCUUUUGUGGGGUGCUCGAGUGGCGAACGGGUGAGUAACACGUGAGUAACCUGCCCUUGACUUUGGGAUAACUUCAGGAAACUGGGGCUAAUACCGGAUAGGAGCUCCUGCUGCAUGGUGGGGGUUGGAAAGUUUCGGCGGUUGGGGAUGGACUCGCGGCUUAUCAGCUUGUUGGUGGGGUAGUGGCUUACCAAGGCUUUGACGGGUAGCCGGCCUGAGAGGGUGACCGGCCAGAUGGGGAAUGAGAUGCGGCCCGGCGUCCUGCGGGAGGCAGAAGUGGGGAAUAUUGCAAAAUGGGCGGAAGCCUGAAACAGCAGCGCCGCGGGCGGGAUGAGGGCCUGAGGGUAGUAAACCGCUAUCGCCUGUGACGAAGCGUGAGUGACGGUAAUGGGUAAAGAAGCACCGGCUAACUACGUG
rnacentral:rRNA from 1 species